UGCCAGCCGCCGCGGUAAGACAGAGGUCUCAAGCGUUAUCCGGAUUCACUGGGUUUAAAGGGUGCGUAGGCGGCAUUAUAAGUCAGAGGUGAAAGCCCGGCGCUCAACGUCGGAAUUGCCCCUGAUACUGUAGUGCUUGAAUCAUGCUGAGGUCGGCGGAAUGAGUCAUGUAGCGGUGAAAUGCAUAGAUAUGACUUAGAACACCAAUUGCGAAGGCGGCUUUCUGGACCGAUACUGACGCUGAGACGCGAAAGCGUGGGGAGCAAACAGGAUUAGAUA
rnacentral:rRNA from 1 species